UAGCUCCGGUGUCGUUAUUCAUUACAAUGAUACAUAUGUAUAUAAGGGAGUAAUUCUGUUUGGUGGAUAAUCACUUGUUGUUAAUACUUGAUAAGCUCAACAACGACGAGCGACGUUUCAAUCGCCAAUCUUCCAAAAUGGCAAAAUUCACGGCAAUCAUGAUCCUCUUCGCUUGCGUGGCUGUUGCCCUGGCUGCAGUUGCACCAGUAAAGAAUGUCCAGGAGAGAAAGGACUUGGACACCGCUGCGGGCCAUUUUUUGGGCGGUUUUGGUUAUGGUUACCCGUUCUAUGGCGGAUUUUAUGGCGGAUUCCCAGGAUUUGGACACGGAUUCGGAUUUUAUGGUUAAGAUAAGUACAGGGUUUAUGACUAAAGUACUCGGGCCUACUUAUUUAAGAGAUUCUAUGUACCAUUACCGAAAAAAUCUGUAUGUUUUAGAACUUAUGUAAUCACAUAAAAUUGGCUCUCAAAGUCAAAAUAAAGCUCUUUCCUAUUUGAAGUAAUCCUAUUUAUGAGGAAUACAAUUACGCAAAUAA